rnacentral:lncRNA from 1 species
AUGCCUAUGUUCAUCAUAAACACUAAUGAUCCCUGCUCCUCCAUGUCAGAGGGGUUUCUCUCCGAGUUCAUCCAGCAAUUGGCUCAGGCCACCAGCAAGCCGGCACAGUACAUCUCAGUGCAUGUGGUCCUGGACCAGUUCAUAACUUUAGCGGCACGAAUCACCCCUGCAUUCUCUGCAACUUGCACAGCAUUGACAAUAUCGGUGGCACCCAGAACCCGAACUACCGCAAGCUGCUGUGCAGUCUGCUGUCCAAUCACCUUCUCAUCAGCCCGGACCAGGUCUACAUCAUCUAUUACAACAUGAAUGCAGCCAACAUGGGCUGGAACGGCUCCACCUUCACUUGA